rnacentral:pre_miRNA from 1 species
AAAAAGACAAAUCUGGUUUCCGUGCUCAAUGUUUGACCGUCCGUCUUAUUUGAAAAAAUUAUAAAAAAAAUUAAAAAGACAAGUCACGUAUAAAAUAUUAAUCAUAUUUUAUCAUCUAACAACAAUGAAAAUACGAAUUAUAAAAAAAUUUCAUAUAAGACGGACAAUCAAAGUUGGACACGGAAAUUCAGGGUUUGCCUUUUU